rnacentral:rRNA from 1 species
GUGUCAGCAGCCGCGGUAAUACGGAGGGUGCAAGCAUUAAUCGGAUUUAUUGGGCGUAAAGGGCGCGUAGGCGGAAAUGUAAGUCAAAUGUGAAAUCCCGAGGCUCAACCUCGGACCCGCAUUUGAAACUACACUUCUAGAGGUUUGACGGAGAAAACGGAAUUCCACAAGUAGCGGUGAAAUGCGUGGAUAUGUGGAAGAACACCUGUGGCGAAAGCGGUUUUCUAGUUUAUACCUGACGCUGAGGCGCGAAAGCAAGGGGAGCAAACAGGAUUAGAUACCCUGGUAGUCCUUGCCGUAAACGAUGUAUACUUGAUGUAAUUGGAAUCAACCCCGAUUGUAUCGUAGCUAACGCGAUAAGUAUACCGCCUGAGGAGUACGCUCGCAAGGGUAAA